rnacentral:rRNA from 1 species
GGUUAAAAAGCUCGUAGUUGGAUCUCGGCAGGUAGGGGGCGGUUCGCUUCUGACGGCACUGCCCCAUUUACCUGUGUUUUUGACGGAGGUUUCACGGUGAUUUUCAUCGAUUGUCGUGAUACGCCGUCAGGUUUACUUUGAAAAAAUUAGAGUGCUCAAAGCAGGCUACAAGCUUGAAUAUUUGUGCAUGGAAUAAUGGAAUAGGAAGUCGUUUCUAUUUUUUUGGUUUUCAGAAAUUGACUUAAUGAUUAAUAGGGACAGCCGGGGGCAUUCGUACUCAGACGACAGAGGUGAAAUUCUUGGACCGUCUGAGGACGAGCUACUGCGAAAGCAUUUGCCAAGAGUGUUUUCAUUAAUCAAGAACGAAAGUUAGAGGUUCGAAGGCGAUCAGAUACCACCCUAGUUCUAACCAUAAACGAUGCUGACUAGCGAUCCGUAGCUGUUUUCUAUGUAGGCUCUACGGGAAGCUUCCGGGAAACCAAAGUUUUUGAGUUCCGGGGGAAAGUAUGGUUG